AUCAGGGCCAAGCUGUGUUGGAACUCUGGAGAGAGUCAGGAGUUUGCAUCAGUAUCUUCUUAGCAUUCAGUUUUUCAGCUCCUGGGAAGCCAUCCUGCGUGGAGGUGUCCACACUGGCAUUGUACCCUGUGAUCCUCCCUGUGGAACGUGCCAGGCUUAGUCAUUUAAGUCCAACCUGGAACCUGAGUGUGCCUGGAUACAGAGCUGGAAAGUGAACACCUGGAUGGUUUCUGCAACAUGGUUUCUGUAAAACUUCUAACUGAACAUCUUCAUCUUACUGAAGACACUGGGACCAAUUCUACUGCUUCCAUUAAAACAUUUUUUCACUCAAAAUUCACGUCCUGGUAAUUCAAACCAUCUCAGAUCAAAACAAUCUUAUCUCAGCAGAAACUGAUCCAAGUAUUGCAUGAGUCAGAACAAAAACAAAACAUGGUUUCCAUUUUCCAAGGAUAACUUUCCAACUUUGUGAGUCAAAGCAAAAAUGUUUAAGAAUCAUGCUUAAGCUAUAUCUAAGUUUCCCUGCAGACCAAAGCUGCAUGAUUCUGCUUCACACAUUGCUGUUAUCUAUAAAAUUCACAUCUUCUGCUGGAAGUAUUUACUAAGUACAUCAUCCUAUUACCUAUGAAUCUGGAGUAAAGAGGACUGGAAUAACCUCUAUGUGCUACAUACAUGACUUGAUCAGACAACAAUUCCAUUCAUCAAGGAUUUGGUUCAAGUUUUCUGUUAGGGUGGUUUGGUUUUGUUUUGGUUUGGGGUUUUUGGUUCUUUUUGGUUUUGGUGGGGUUUUUUGUUUUUUGUGGGUUUUUUUGUUGUUGUUGUUGUUGUUGUUGUUGUUUGGGGGUUUUUUGGAUUUGUUUUUUUUUUAAUACAGGCUCAACAAGAUUUUGACAACUUUAGGUUAAGGCAGAUUAAAGAGUAUGAAUCAACUGAUAACCAGCUGCCAGCUGAAACACCAGAAAGUGCAUAAAUCACUCAUUAGUGGUCCUACAAGCAUAGCUCUGCCUCAGCAACAAGCUGCCCCAGGAAAUCAUGAAUGCCCAGGAUUGUACUGGGUACCAACCCAGAGUGGGCUCCCAGCCCUGGCUCAAAGGAAAAGCCCCACAAUCACCUUGCUCUGCACAGUUUUGUCCAUGCUGGAGACACAAACUGCAGCAGUUCCUGACUCACAGCAGGCACAAUGUGGAGCACUGACCUGCUCUGUGCCAGGAGGAUGAAGGCAGUACUGGCAGUUCUUACACUUUACAUGUCACAGGUUCCAUCCAACUUAAAUUUGCACUGCCUGUGUUUAGUAGAAGAUGCAGCACAACCACUCCAACACAUA